GAAACCCCGUCGCCUUCCUCUUCCUCUCUACCGGCGCUCACUUACCCUCUUCCACAACUCUUCUUUCUCUUCACCUUCUUUUGUGCUCCCUUCCACAGGCAUCACCGUGCUCAUGGUUGACAAUGCUGGUAUUGCUCCUGCUCCUAUGAGGCAUCCCGUUUCCAAGCAGGGCUUGGAUAGUCGCAACAAACAGGAAAUCCAGGCUUCUAAGGAAUAUUGUGUGAGGUUCAUCCGAAGGUUAGGAAAAAAUUGGACAGGGGAUGCGUAGCCUGCAAUUCGAGCGUUGGGGCAGUGUUCUUGUUGCUUGGAACAGUUGGUGAGUAUUUGCUCAUGUGCUUUCUAUGCAAUCUCAAUAUGUGCAAUGUGGUUGUUCAAUACACCAACAGCAAUCAAUGGUUGCUUACGGCUGUAUAUUAGUACAUCCUUAGUAACAUAUUAUGGGAAUACUUUUCUAUGCU